GAUGAACGCUGGCGGCGUGCUUAACACAUGCGAGUCGAACGGAAAGGCCCAAGCUUGCUUGGGUACUCGAGUGGCGAACGGGUGAGUAACACGUGGGUGAUCUGCCCUGCACUUCGGGAUAAGCCUGGGAAACUGGGUCUAAUACUGGAUAGGACCACUUCUUGGAUGUUGUGGUGGAAAGUUUUUUCGGUGUGGGAUGAGCUCGCGGCCUAUCAGCUUGUUGGUGGGGUAAUGGCCUACCAAGGCGUCGACGGGUAGCCGGCCUGAGAGGGGGUACGGCCACAUUGGGACUGAGAUACGGCCCAGACGCCUACGGGAGGCAGCAGUGGGGAAUAUUGCACAAUGGGCGCAAGCCUGAUGCAGCGACGCCGGGUGGGGGAUGACGGCCUUCGGGUUGUAAACUCCUUUCGCUAGGGACGAAGCGUUUUGUGACGGUACCUGGAGAAGAAGCACCGGCUAACUACGUG
rnacentral:rRNA from 1 species